rnacentral:lncRNA from 10 species
CAGAGCAAUGCCCCAUGGCAAUGCAAGAUGCCCGAUCACCAAGCAAAAAUGUAAUUAUUUUCAUUCUGCUCCAGAAACUUAGAAAGAAAGCCACGCUGAAGAAAUACUGUCUUCCUCUCUCAUGUCUGAAGGUUUCUUCCCUGGAAGCAUGAAGAAUGCCCAAGGAAAGAAAAGGAGGUCAGGUUUGCUCUGCUGAAGCCGCUCUCAUUAUUGACAGCUUUGUGUCCUCUCCGAAUAUCUCAUCCUCUUCUUGUUGCAGAAGAAGUGCAAAAUAAGACUCUUAGAAUUUAGAUUAUAUUUUGAAAUCCCCACAUUUGGAUUUGCAGAUAUGCCAAUAUUUGGAUUUGUCGAGCUGUAAUUUAAGCUGGUCUCUCCCCUGGAACUGCCUGGUGAAAUGCAUCUUUCAUGAGGUUUCUGCAGGAGCCCAGCUACAAGCUCAGACUCCCAAGCACAAAUCAAACUCUGGUUCAACAUAAACAAUAUGAUGUCAGGGCCUCCUAAAACAGCAGGCCUCCAGCAGGGACUGGCUUCAAUGUCUCCCCACCCAUGUACCUUCUUCCAGGAAAAGAUUAAAAGCUUCCUCACAGACAAUUUAGCUGCAGGAUUAAUACAUGGAGAGCUGGUUUGGGGUGGGCUGCAGCCUCAGACCCCUUCUCAGAGUACCUGCUUUUCACCCCUACCCACAGGGUAAACUAGCUCUUGCCCAGACAGCUUCAGAAUCUGCUCUGUUGAUCUAAGCAAAUAAAAUGCAGAAGCCAAGGAAAAGGAUGUCAUUCCACAGCCUCCGGGCUUCCUUCCUUCAUCUGAAGGUCAAGUAAUAAUUCAGCCAAAAUGUGAAACUCUUUAUGCAGGACUUACAGUCAAAGGCAGGCAGGCUGGGAGGGCUAAGGAAAGCAGUUACAGGCCAGCAGCUCUCAAAGGUGAGACAGGCCCAGGCCUCACCUAUUGUGAAGAGUCUGAUUUUAAAAUAAAAAUGAAUGCCAAAAGCAGGCUAUAAUAUGUACUGUCCCUUUUAUUGGAUGGCCCUGUCUAUGCAGCUGCUGCUGUAUGUAUAACCUCGCCUGGCAAUGGGGGCUCGUUGUAAGAGUGGGGACUGGACUAAAACAUCAAUUUCUCUUUGCUCUUCUCCCCCUUUCCUGCUCUAUCCUAGCAAUAUCCCCAGCUUCACCCUCAUGACAGCCCUUGGCUUAGGGAGAGCAAUGACCAAGACAGGGAGGCACCCGAGCAGGGUGGCCAGCUGUCCUAGUUUGCCUAGAAUGUGGUGGGCCUUUCAGUGCUAAAACCAGGAAAGUCUUCGGCCAACUAAGUAUGUUGGUCACUCAGACCUGUCAGUUUCUGGCUGAGCAAACAAACAUAUAUGCUGGUGUUCCCUGAGGCUGCUGGACAGUGUGAAAAACAGACCUGGAAGCAGCCAGGUUUGGAUUCGAAUCCAGCCUCUCCCCUUGCAGUGGGCAAGAUUCAUAUUGACCUCCCUGGGCCUUUGUAUUCUUAUUUGGGAAAUGUCAACCAUAGGACUGAUAGGGAGAUUUUGUAAGAGGAUGCCCACAAUAAAUGGUUGGUUACCUUUUUAUUCCCCAUUACAAAAUCUUAUCUAGGCUGGGUAUGGUGGCUCAGGCCUGUAAUCCCAGCACUUUGGGAGGCCCCGG